UUCCCAAGCAAAUUAUUGUGUAACCCCUGCUAGAGGGAGAAAGCUUCCAGCCUUGGCUGGAGAGUGGGGAGGAUCCAGUGUCUGUAUUUUUUAAAAUGUCUACAGGUGUUUCUCAUGUGCAAAUUGGUAUCCCUGCAUGAGAACCAUAAACCAACAGAAAACCCAAAAGACCGAGGACAAUGAUGGGUUGCCGACAGCCCAAGCUUUUCUGCCACAGAAGAGUGGUUCCAGUCAGGAAGACUGAGCAAGAGGCUCAGAGUCUUAGCUAAGGACAAGCAAGUCGGGACUUCUAAUACGACCUAAUGUCAUCGACGGGGGAGGGCAGUUCAGCACAAGAAGGGAGCACCAGCUGGGUCAUGAAUCUAAUGAUGCCACAGUUUCGGGAGCAGAACAGUCCACCCCACGAUGGGAAUGGGACAACCAUCUGUAUCCAACGGGCAAACUGGGGUUAUUUUAUGAAUACCCUGAAAUGAGAGUAAAAGAAUUUAUGUUGUCCUUCCAUCCAUCCACCACUCCAUGUUUUGUGUCCAUUCCUUCAACAGGUAUUCAGUUUGGGUUCACCACAGUAUAUGUGGCCUCUUUCCAGUGGCCCCUCUGUUGGCUCUGGAGAACAAUAUAUUGGAAAUCAGAGUGGGUACGUGGAACCUUGACUACCCAGUAUAGACGCAUUGUGCCAGAAAAAGCCCAGAACAUCGCAGCAUGGCAGCCCACCAUGCAAGGAACAGCAAUUCUGGCUUUGGUGGACCAAUGUGAAUAAAAAGGCUUCUUUGGGUGAAGACUUAGAAAAGUCCAAAAAUGCA